rnacentral:rRNA from 1 species
GACAGAGGUCCCGAGCGUUAGGCGGAAUCACUGGGCUUAAAGCGCGUGUAGGCGGUUCGGUAAGUCUGCUGUGAAAGUCCAGGGCUCAACCCUGGGAUGCCGGUGGAUACUGCUGAACUAGAGUGCGGAAGAGGCGAGUGGAAUUCCCGGUGUAGCGGUGAAAUGCGCAGAUAUCGGGAGGAACACCAAUUGCGAAGGCAGCUCGCUGGGACGUUACUGACGCUGAGACGCGAAAGCGUGGGGAGCAAACAGG